UUAGCGAUUUUCAUAUGGCAACAAAAAAAAAAUUUCAGUUGUCAACUGAAAUUUCGAGGAAUUGUUUUUGUUUUGGCUUCAAAUUUCCUUUAAAAAGUGGUGAAAAUGUCGAAGAAACCUCUUCGAUCGCAAGCAAGAAGUAUUGUUCUCAAUGUUUAUCAAAGAAUACUUGAUCAACAAGGUGCAGAACAUGCACAAUCAUCGAUAUUGAGCUAUGUGCAAGUGUUGACUGGGGUUUCUAAUACUACCAUAAGACGAAUUGUUGCCGAGGGCAGAUCUAACAGAGGCGUAUUUAGUACGCCCGGUAAAAAGAGGAAAGGUGGUUUUGAUUUAGAAUU